AUAACGGUUGAAUGUGGUUGGAGUGAGAGCGGAAAGUACAGUGGACUCCCGACGGGAUGAACUCAAUAAGAUAUAUCAGAUAAUGUAAAAGAGACUGCAAACUGCAGAUCGAACUCAGCUUUCCAGACGAAACAGACGUGCCGAAUAUGCCGCGGGCCACGGUCAGUAACGAAGCAUAGAUGAAAGGAGAAUUAAAACCUUGCACAACCCUGUCUACGGCCCACUUUUUGUGCAACAUAUUGUUAUUGUAUAGUCCUUGAUAAUUAUCAACUAUUAUCGGUAGCAGUAAACAAAUUCCUCGAG